GACAGAGGGUGCUAGCGUUGUUCGGAAUUACUGGGCGUAAAGGGCGCGUAGGCGGUCUGUUAAGUUCGGUGUGAAAUCCCCUGGCUCAACUGGGGAACUGCGCUGGAAACUGGCAGACUCGAGUACCGGAGAGGAGAAUGGAAUUCCUGGUGUAGCGGUGGAAUGCGCAGAUAUCAGGAGGAACACCGAUGGCGAAGGCAGUUCUCUGGGCCGUAACUGACGCUGAGGAGCGAAAGCGUGGGGAGCGAACAGG
rnacentral:rRNA from 1 species